UACAGAGACUGCGAGCGUUAUUCGGAUUCACUGGGCGUAAAGGGCGCGUAGGCGGCCAGCACAAGUCAGUUGUGAAAUCUCCGAGCUUAACUCGGAACGGUCAACUGAUACUGUGCGGCUAGAGUGCAGAAGGGGCAACUGGAAUUCUUGGUGUAGCGGUGAAAUGCGUAGAUAUCAAGAGGAACACCUGCGGCGAAGGCGGGUUGCUGGGCUGACACUGACGCUGAGGCGCGAAAGCUAGGGGAGCGAACGGG
rnacentral:rRNA from 1 species